GUUUGAGUAGCUCAGUUGGUUAGAGCAAAGGAUUGAAAAUCCUUGUGUCGGCAGUUCAAAUCUGCCCUUAAAUA
rnacentral:tRNA from 1 species